rnacentral:misc_RNA from 1 species
UAACCUCUUGCCCAAAUGUAUUUUUGGAAAAAGAGAAUAUGACAGUUGGCCCUGCGUCUCUGCAAAGAGUCGUCUCGGCUUGAAUACCCUGUUGAUUGUAACUGUUUCAUCUACGGUCAUCACUUGAUAAUUAUCGUGUGUCUAACCAGAAAUGAAGCGGGAUCGACCGUAUCAAACCCCCCUAA